AGCUAUCUCCAAAGUUUCCUGUACCCCAACAAGCUUAACCAUUGAUGUUUUCUGCCUCAAGUAACUGUGUCUCUUGUAUUGCUAAGAAGGAUAUUCUAUACUUUGAUUUCAAUUUUCGAAUCCAAUCCACCUUGUAUUUCUCUCCUAUUCCCCUGAUGUUGAUGGAUAGAAAAUUCAUUUGGAAGUUGUUGUCUCACCUGGUACUCCCAGGAUUCCUGCCAACAAUUCAUUGUUGGCAUCAAUCUCAAAUCCAAGCAUAGCCCCAAUUUCAGUUGUUGCUUCAAUUUCGUUGAUUUGAAUAGAUUCAUUAGCAUAUGGAGGUGGAUUAAGGGACGAGUUUGGUACCAUCUUAGUCCGAUGCGAAUCAGACGUUGAUGCGUUUCCAUCCCCAUCACGAAAUAAAGCUUGGAUAGGGUACUGUAAUAACUCUCUUGACGGGGAGAGGACCUGUGAGAAUCGCCUUUUCUUGGAUGAACAACUAAUGUUGAUAUCUUGCAGAUGCGAUGUUUGAUAAGAGGGGGAGGGGGUCUGCUUGUUGUACGGAAAAGGUCCAAAACAGCCAGACUGGGCUAACAUAGACAGAAAGGAGGUGGGCAUAGUGGGCCUUGGGGAGCCCAAUAUCGGACUAUCCAAUUUACAAGCAUCAUGUCUGGCUAGGUCAACUGUGCCCCAAUUGAGUUCCUUAGGUUUAUCUCAACGUGCUUCAUUAUCAUCAAUAUGGCCAAUAUCAGUGGGAAUCGGAAUUGUUUUCGCUUCAUUGGAAUGAGUAUACGCCUUUUCAGAUUCCAAGACCGCCGUGGGUGCUUGGAGUGGGACUGCAGCUUCAUCCGGGCCAUCAGUGGAGACUUCAUCACCGACGAUCCCACAACGUCUGAUUCCAUUGCUUUUCAGAUUCGCAACUCCAACUAUUUCACCAUCUUCAAUGUCAUCCAUCCAUGUUUCUGAAAUACCAUCUUCAUCUUCGUUGGAACCCUGCAUACCAUCGUCUUUGUCGGAUUCAACAACAUCUGUGUCCCCGUCAAAAUUAUCUUCGGGUUCAGAUUGAUACGACUGAUCAACGUCAUCGAAUUUGAAGGGGAACCAUGGAUGCCAAUUUUUACAACUGAGAGGUCCAUUCUAUCCCCAGUAUGAUCAAGUGGAACAAUUAUUUUCCCGAACUUCUCCCCAAUGGUAGAGAAAUUUGGUUCACUCCAUAAACUUAUAGGCAAUCCAACAAGUCUUAUAUUUGCGAUACGAUCAAAUUUAUAAUCAUUUUCUCCACCAGGCUUGAUAGAUUUGAAUAUAUCUUUCCAGUUUUUUUCAUUCAAUAGGAAAUCUUUAGCAUUUACCGACGAUCCAAACUCAAGAAUGGCCUUCAUACCUCCAGCGUAUUUGACCUUCACAUCCAUGUCACAGUGAAUAGAGAGCAGGGCCGACAGAUGUCCGAGAUGGUCUAAUGAUUUUACCUCACCAAUGAGAGUAGACCCCUUCAACCAACGCACCAUCAUUUCAUUGGUAACCAGACGAACCGGUGCAAGGAUGGGUGGUAGGUUCUUUGGGGGGAUUUUGACUUUAUCACCACCACUGAGAGCUUCUGCAUAUGAUUUUUCACCCAUGAAUCCUCCUCUAACUUUGACCGGGAUCGGCACGUGAGUGCGACUCCAUCUUCUCACCCCAAUGGAUGACUGCAGUUUCUCAGCCCUUUCGUGUCUCGCUAUGUUUAUCUCCGGUUUAUAGUUCCGACAUGUUGUACCAUUCAGUUUUGAUUCUAGUAACUUCUUGUUUGUAACAUUCUCAAAACGAAUGAAUCCAAAGUUCUUCCCAUU